UACGAAGGGGGCUAGCGUUGCUCGGAAUUACUGGGCGUAAAGGGCGCGUAGGCGGCUCUGUUAGUCAGGCGUGAAAUUCCUGGGCUCAACCUGGGGACUGCGCUUGAUACGGCGGGGCUUGAGGAUGGAAGAGGGUCGCGGAAUUCCCAGUGUAGAGGUGAAAUUCGUAGAUAUUGGGAAGAACACCGGUGGCGAAGGCGGCGACCUGGUCCAUUACUGACGCUGAGGCGCGACAGCGUGGGGAGCAAACAGG
rnacentral:rRNA from 1 species